AUGACUCUCGGCAACGGAUAUCUCGGCUCACGCAUCGAUGAAGAACGUAGCAAAAUGCGAUACUUGGUGUGAAUUGCAGAAUCCCGUGAACCAUCGAGUUUUUGAACGCAAGUUGCGCCCGAAGCCAUUUGGUUGAGGGCACGUCUGCCUGGGCGUCACGC
rnacentral:rRNA from 11 species